GAUGAACGCUGGCGGCGUGCCUAACACAUGCAAGUCGAGCGAUUUACUUCGGUAAAGAGCGGCGGACGGGUGAGUAACGCGUGGGUAACCUGCCCUGUACACACGGAUAACAUACCGAAAGGUAUGCUAAUACGAGAUAAUAUGCUUUUAUCGCAUGGUAGAAGUAUCAAAGCUUUUGCGGUACAGGAUGGACCCGCGUCUGAUUAGCUAGUUGGUAAGGUAACGGCUUACCAAGGCGACGAUCAGUAGCCGACCUGAGAGGGUGAUCGGCCACAUUGGAACUGAGACACGGUCCAAAACUCCUACGGGAGGCAGCAGUGGGGAAUAUUGCACAAUGGGCGAAAGCCUGAUGCAGCAACGCCGCGUGAGCGAUGAAGGCCUCGGUCGUAAGACUCUGUCCUCAAGAAGAUAAUAGACGGU
rnacentral:rRNA from 1 species